rnacentral:lncRNA from 1 species
UUCAGGGGUAUACUUGCACCACUUAUCUAGCACAAGAUGGUCCUACAUAGUUGUUUCAAGAUUCCUAAAUUACAGUUAUAUUGUUUUUGCGUGUGUUUUAAACCAUUUAAUUUUCUGGUUUUCAGAUUUGCAGGGGAAAAAAUUGUGAAGACAAUCUUGUUUGGGGACACAUUGGAAAAUAAAAGGAAAAGAAGUGAUCAUUCAGUAAGCGCAAUGAUAUGACAGAUAUGCAAAUAGAUACGAUUUCAAACAGAUAAUGCUAAUAAACUUGGAUACAUGCUUAGAUUUCACUGAAUGGCACUGUGGUCCUUGGAAGUGAAGAUCGUCCAAUUAUGCAAGACUAGUAUGAACAGGAAAGAGGACAGAUGGCAGGAGCUUUAAGUGCAAGUUUUCUUUAUGUAGCUAUCAUCGCCUUCUCUCUAGAAGAUAUUUUGAAUCCCUUGCACCUGUUCUCUUCCCCCCAACCCCACUUAAAAAAAUUCUGUUUAUAAAUAAAUCAACAUUGGCUUGAC